UACGGGGGGAGCAAGCGUUGUUCGGAUUUACUGGGCGUAAAGGGCGCGUAGGCGGCGCCGCAAGUCGACUGUGAAAUCUCCGGGCUUAACCCGGAAAGGUCAGCCGAUACUGCGGGGCUAGAGUGCAGAAGGGGCAACUGGAAUUCUCGGUGUAGCGGUGAAAUGCGUAGAUAUCGAGAGGAACACCUGCGGCGAAGGCGGGUUGCUGGGCUGACACUGACGCUGAUGCGCGAAAGCCAGGGGAGCGAACGGG
rnacentral:rRNA from 1 species